rnacentral:rRNA from 1 species
CAGAGUUAGCCGGUGCUUCUUCUGAUGGUACCGUCAUUAUCUUCCCAUCUGAAAGUGCUUUACAACCCGCAGGCCUUCUUCACACACGCGGCAUUGCUGGAUCAGGCCUUCGCCCAUUGUCCAAUAUUCCCCA